GGCUAUGUAGCUCAGCCGGUUAGAGCACGUCACUCAUAAUGGAGUCCACCCAUAGCCACCA
rnacentral:tRNA from 1 species